AUUGAACGCUGGCGGAAUGCUUUACACAUGCAAGUCGAACGGUAGAGGGGGCAACCCCUUGAGAGUGGCGAACGGGUGAGUAAUAUAUCGGAACGUGCCCAGUCGUGGGGAUAACGUAGCGAAAGUUACGCUAAUACCGCAUACGAUCUAAGGAUGAAAGCGGGGGACUCGCAAGAGCCUCGUGCGAUUGGAGCGGCCGAUAUCAGAUUAGGUAGUUGGUGGGGUAAAGGCUCACCAAGCCAACGAUCUGUAGCUGGUCUGAGAGGACGACCAGCCACCACUGGAACUGAGACACGGUCCAGACUCCUACGGGAGGC
rnacentral:rRNA from 1 species